CAUGCAAGUCGAACGAGAAAGGGUUCUUCGGAACCCGAGUACAGUGGCGAACGGGUGCGUAACACGUAGGCAACCUGCCCUUGAGUGGGGAAUAACUACCGGAAACGGUGGCUAAUACCGCAUGAAGACCAGAGAUCGCAUGAUCUUCGGUUGAAAGACUUCGGUCGCUCAAGGAUGGGCCUGCGGCGGAUUAGCUUGUUGGUGAGGUAAAAGCUCACCAAGGCUACGAUCCGUAGCUGGUCUGAGAGGAUGAUCAGCCACACUGGCACUGAGACACGGGCCAGACUCCUACGGGAGGCAGCAGUAAGGGAUCUUGCGCAAUGGAGGAAACUCUGACGCAGCCACGCCGCGUGAAGGAAGACACCCCUAUGGGGCGUAAACUUCUUUUAUAUGGGAAGAACCCCCUGCUCUGCAGGGUCUGACGGUACCAUAUGAAUAAGCACCGGCUAACUCCGUGCCAGCAGCCGCGGUAAUACGGAGGGUGCAAGCGUUGUCCGGAAUCACUGGGUGUAAAGGGUGUGUAGGCGGGGCAGUAAGUCAGAGGUGAAAGCCCACGGCUCAACCGUGGAAUUGCCUUUGAUACUGCUGUUCUUGAGUCCUGGAGAGGUCGCCGGAAUUCGUGGUGCAGCGGUGAAAUGCGUAGAUAUCACGAGGAACACUGGAGGUGUAGACGGGUGACUGGACAGGUACUGACG
rnacentral:rRNA from 1 species